CGCUGCUAAAGAGUGUGUGCACACACUCCGUCACGUGCUUCUUACGCUCUGAAACCCCUCCAGAGAGCGAAGAGUGAUGACGGCGUUACACAGCGCGAGCACACUCAGACUUUAGACAGGAGAGUCACAGAGAGGAGAGGAGAAAAAAGGGGGCGAGGAGAAGGAUCGACGCACAAAGCGGCCUCUACCAAACAGCCUGAUCAGAUGAAACUGAUAUUAUGAGACCUGUUCAGAGAAUCAACCAAAUAUUCAAACUUCCUCUGUUGAGAGUCUUCGAAAGGGUCUCUUCUUCGUCUUCUUUUUUUUAAAUAUUUGCAGUUAUGUGAAAUGCAACUUAAUUAGUAAAACUGGAGCUCUUUUAGCAGAAGUUUGAUUUGUCACGAAUUGUUAUUUUUAACAUGAUUGUGUUUAUUGGUUGUAUGUUAUGAGAGCUGGAGAAGUGUGUGUCAUGUUUCCUCCUUGGUGCGUUUUGUUUCACAGUCGCCUCCCCGAAGUAGGAGCUAUAAUUUGAAGAUCACGCAGCCUUUAAUGGGAGCGGGGUUACAGCAACUGCUGCCGCCUCCCAAUACCGCGCAGAUAAAGGAGGAGAUCCGUGACGUGGACAUCUUCUCAAGUCACCAAGCAAUGAAACACACUGCUUCAAGCUCCAAACCCAUUGCAUACAAACAGUUUGACUCUCCACUUAUUUGACUUAUUAACUUUUUUCAGUUUUGUGAAUGGAUAUUUCAAAUGUCAAGUCUGUAACAAUCACAUCAAUUUGUUUUCAUAAAAAAACAAAAAAAAAAAAGAGCAAAUUAACUCGAGCCAUGGUGUUUUUGUGUUACUUUUAGGAGGAGCAACUCUGGUCUUUCUUUACUUCUUUAGUGAGUUAAAUGAAGAUGUAUGUCGUGAGAGUGAGUGUGUGUUUCCUCCUGAUGGGGUUUCUCUACUCGUGCACAUCCCACCCUCACUGGUCACAAUCCCCUCGCCAGGCUGAAUGGCAGACCUCUGGAUUGGCUAAGUGAUGAAAUGAUGACCCCAUUAUGAGAAGUGAUUCCAAAAUGAGAGGCAACGGACAAAGAUUGUAUACCCCUCUCUCUCUCUCCCCCCCCCCUCUCUCUCUCUGUCUCUCUUUCUGCAGCACCGUCCUCAGCAGCCCGCUGCCAGCGGAGCAGAUGAUGAUUGAUUCGCUUGAGAAGGAUCACAGGAAGCACCCAUUGAUUUCUUUCUCUCUUUUUUUCCCUUUUUUGGUGUUUUAUUAAACAUAUAUAUAUAUUUAUUUACCCCUGUAUCUUUGGGGCAUGUCAAGACUCACCUCAUUUGGGUGACGCUAUAAGUGGGAUAAUUCACACUUUUCCAUCACAAGAUGGACGACCUUAAGAAUUACUUCAGAAAUGAGUCAAUAGACCCAGCCAGUAAAUUAAUAUUGAUUGGCAAUAAUGAUGGCUGAGUGUGAAUAUGGGCUCUUGCAGUGACCCCGCCUUUAGACUCUAGGUAUCUUUACAGUGAUGCUAAACGUUUGCAACCAAAUACGCCUAUAAAGGUGCAUGUAAAAAAAUAAAUAAAUAGAAAUGUAACUAUUUCAGUGGUUAAUUUCAAAAAGUAAAACUCAUAGGGACAUUACUUACAGAGGGACACAUUUAAAGUACUUAUUUUAGUUCAUUGCACGAGUAUGGCUUGCAGCUGAUCCAAACCAAAUAUUCAGUUUUACAGAAAAUUUGAAUGAGACAGUAAAUCUGUUCAUGAUUCUCUCAUUGCUGAGGUUAUGGCUGUUGCAAAUGCAUCUUUACCCGUCGCACUUUUUCCUUUCUCAACUUUCCACUAUAAGGCUUGGACACAGCUAUCUGUGAACAACCACCCCGUUCAGCUGUGGCCUAUGUAGACUAACCUCCUUGUUGAUGGUGUCCGGGGUUGUCUGCUAGACCUCUGUUAAGUUAGCCGUCUUCCCUAUGAUUAUGUGGGCCAUAACAUAACAAUAACAAAACAUUUCUGUAUUCUCUUUUUUGUGUGUUAUGAUAUGAUUUACUGAGAAAAUAAAUUUGGGGAUUUCAAUUUAUCUAAGCUGGAAUCAUCAAAAAGACAAGAGUUAAAUGAAAUGUAUCCGUUUGUGUCUAAUUAAUCUAUUUGAUCUAUAAGUUUGACCUUUUUUGAAUUUAAUUACUGUGAUAGGUAAAUUGUUUUAUAUUCUAAUUUAUUGAAAUGCACCUGUAGGUUACACCUGGAAAAAAAAAGAAGAAACAAAACACAGGAGCAGUUAUUUCCUCCUCUCACAGCCAGUACGUGUUUCUUUCACUUUAAUUUCUAACUUUGAUCAAACCAGAACUACAGUUUGAUCUGAAGGUGCCAUAAGGUAAUAAUCCCAUACUACCUUAAAGCUCCUGAGGUCCAUGUAGGAAGUCUGUGCCUUCGCAAAAACGUAAGGUGAUACAACUUGCAAAUCCAAUGACUGCCAAAAGGCUGAAACCACAGUGUGGGAGCAGUGUCCCAGAUAUUUGCUCUGACUUAAUCCAAUUGAAAUAGUAUGAGUGAGUUGCAGGGGCUCCCAGGUCUGUUCCCUGCUUAUGUAUGUGAUGCAUAAUAGAAGUUGACGAGGUUGGUGAUAGAUCACAGCCCAGGUAAUGUAAACACAUUAAUCCCUCAGGGUUCAUGUGCAUGUUCUUUCUCUUGUUUGGUCUCUUCUAUCAGCCUCCCCAACUCUAAGACACACACCGCCCCGACCCACCCACCUCAGCCCUACCUCCACCCCCCCACCCCAACUCCCAAGUGUUCAUCAUCAUCCCUAAAUGCGUUACUGGAGCACAAACCAGAAGCAGCCUUAAUCUGUCAACAUGCCCUUUAAUUGGAAGAAGAAAACAACACGUGCUCCUGGUUGUGCCAUUCCUAAGUGCACAUGCCAAAGAAAUACAGCGGUCACGGAAGAAGUGAUCCCGGGAGAGAGGGGCAUAAUUAAAAGUAUCUUUUAAUAGGCUUGUAAUGCUGAGCCUGACUCUUGUUGCCCUAAGUAGAGUGCAAAAUCUGUGGCUGGAGACGGACAUGCGGCGAAGGGGGCUUCUGCUAAAGGAGACUGUAAACGAUACACCGCCUCCACCGUCAUCAGACAUGCUGUCUCCACCUGAGUCGCCGCACGGAGGACAACAGCCACUUUCAGCCUCUGCCGCGGACACUUCGGGCUCACCAGCUAACCGUGUCCCUUUGUUCUCCGAAUGAGAGUUGCUCUUCCACAACACAACAUCAGCUCUCCGACUCGCCAUCCCCCCAAGUCGCUUUGCCAACUUCUGCUCUGCCUCCAACUCACAACACCAGCGGGGAGUGAGAACUGGGAUUAAGGGGUUGAUUUUGGGCCUGCUACACUGUAAUCAAAUGAGACUGCUUAGGGGAGAGGAGGAGAAGGAGGAGGUGGAGUAUUAUGUUCUGUAGUGCAUUCCACUGCAGUGUUUUUUUUUUUUUUCUUUCUUUUUUUUUUUUUUUUUUUGUUGUUUUUGUCAGGGCAGGCUUUGAUGCCGUAUCCCCUUACCUUUGUAGUCCCGGUAGCCAUGUUUCAUAAACACGGAAUAGGAAACAUCCUCGGCAUUAGAAAUGUAGAUUGGUGCUUUCCUCCCUGCCACCCCACAUUCCGCACGUGCCCGGUCACAUUCUCCAUCUCCCAGCACUGGGGUAUUAAGUUUCCUCUCUCAUGCCUGUGAUACAUUUAAACAUCUCACAAUCAGCCCCAGUGAUUUAGAGUGUCAUGUAUAAUCUGCCGCAACAACAAUGCCAACAUCGCUUUUUGUCCUUGUGGCUGCCAUCGUUUCUGUUUUUCUCUUAGUUUUUGGGGUUUCGGGACAGCUGCAUUGGCAAAAUGCUUAAUUCCGCGAAGCUGAAAAGUUGGUAUUAGUGCGAUUUAGACUUGGUCUUCAUUAUGGAGGAUAUAAUAUUAAUACUGAGCUUCACAUUCUGUAGAGUACCCCCCCCUUGCUUUGUGUUAUCACACGGGGAAUUGUCUGGUCUCACUUCUCUUUGUAGUUAACUGAAACCCUCCAUGGGAUUGAGUUAAAUUGUAUUUCUAAAUCUAACUCAUUAAAAGCCAAACUCUUCAGU